UUGCGGCAGUCGCGGCCAUUCUUAUUCACACCCCACCACGCUUGCGGUGGCAGCAGGGGGGACAAACUCGCUAGAUUUUGUAGCGACGGAAGUGGAGUUAGUUCUGUAAUACAAGGGGGACAGUCAUAGAGGCAGCACCGUCGACCCUUCUCUUUUCCGCUCUAAUCCCCUUGUCAUCAAAUUAAGUAAUAUGUUUAUAAGGUUAUAGUCUCCGUUGGACAUCGUUGGAUUCGUUGUUUAUUUUAGUUUAUUUUUUCAUAUUCUUUCGUGACAAAGCAGUUAUUGGCGAUUUGUUGGACCUGUAACGACCUGCGACGUAGAAUUAGAGCAGAGAAUUUGUAGCGACUAAUUUCAAGAUGGUACGUAGGUGUUGUGUGCCCAAAUGCAAAUCCAAAAAGGAUACACCCAUGCAUCGAUUUCCACAAGAUGUUAAUAAAGUAGAACAAUGACUCAAAACAAUAACACGAACUGAUUUGAUAGGUGCAUCAAGAAAAGUAUUGGACGAAUUACGGAUUUGUACUGUACAUUUUCCAGAUGAAAUGAUUAACAUUUAUACCAAAAGGCGCGUUUUAAAACCAGAUGCUAUUCCAGCUUUAGCCAUUAAUUCAAUUAUUGAAACAGAGACUGUAAAUGCUAAUGCAGAAAUUAUUAAUAUAGAUAUAAAUAAUGAUAAUUGUGCUAUGUCAUAUAGUAAUGUUAGUAAUGUCAAUAACGUCAAUAGUAUCAAUAAUGUCAGUAACGUCAGUAAUAUCAAUAACAUCAGUAACGUCAGUAAUAUCAAUAACAUCAGUAACGUCAGUAAUGUUAAUAAUAGUAAUGUUAAUAAUACUAAUGUCAGUAACGUAGCAAUGGAAAAUGUACAGUGCAUUCCUAAUUUUAUGCCAAUAUUGAAAAAAUCUAUUGAUCAUGAAGAAGUAAGAUACCUGAAAAAUGACAUAAGAAGAUUGAAGAAACAUGUAAACAAAAAGAAGAAACUUAUUGAAAAGCACGCCAGGGAAAAAAA
rnacentral:lncRNA from 13 species